rnacentral:rRNA from 1 species
AAUCGGUUACCCACUGAACGAAUCGUCGAUGUCUACUAGGUUAUGGACGCAUGGAUGAGGCUGAUAAUUCAGGCAGCAGCAAUGAUUAGUGUGAUUCAGGCAUGGGUCAUGUUCAUGCACCAGAGAGUUGUUCGUCGUGCUGGGAGACCGUUGAUUCGCUAUGGUCCAUUGUUUAUCCGGGAACAGGAGAGGAUCCAAAAUCUGAACUACAUCUACAACUACAAUGACGUCGUGGCUCUGUGGAUGCUUUGAAUGAAAAGAGCACCAUUUGCCAGGCUUGUCGAGGCCUUCAGGAGAAGGGGGCUGCUACAAGAUAACAUCAACACCAGUGUGGAAGAGCAAGUGGCCAUGUUUCUCCAUGUUGUUGGCCAUAACCAGAGGUUCAGGGUCAUUCACAACACGUUCAGGAGAUCAAUGGAGACCAUCUCUAGGUACUUCAAGCAGGUGUUUUUUGCUAUUGGGGAGCUUAGAGGAGAGAUUAUCAGGAGACCAUCUGGCCAGACUCCACCCAAGAUUCGCAGAAGCCCAAGAUGGUAUCCAUACUUCAAGGUGAGCAUUGACAAUAUACACUUUUCAUGGCUUGAUACGCUUGUAUUGUUCAAGUUGAGCACUAACAUAGGCUUGUGA